AUUGAGAGCUCGGAGUCUUACCCACUGGACCACCAGGCAACUGGGUGCCAGCUGCAUUGUCUCAGUGGCUUUCCAAAGGAGACUGACGGACCUACUCCAUAAAUACUGACUGGAAGCCAGAUUACCAGUUAUUAUUAUCACUAUAGAAAAAGAGUGGCAGGGAGACAUGGAGCCAACUGGACCGUGAACCUGUGAAACUGCUGCAGGAAAGAAAGUGGGGUGCGAGAGGAUGACCACGUCCCAGGUCUCAGGCAAGUCCCUGGAUGGCUGCCAAGUGUGGGUUCUUGGCUUUGUGCAGGAAAGAAUUCAAGAGUGAGCCAUAGUAAAGUGAAAGAAGGUUUAUUCAGGGAAAUACACACUCCAUAGACAGAGUGUGGGCCAUACACACUCCAUAGACAGAGGCGAGAGGCCCCAGGAUACAGGAUUGUCAGUUUUUAUAGGGGUGGGUGAUUUCACAGGCUAAUGAGUGGGAUGAUUUUUCCAACAAUUUGGGGGAAGGGGUGGAGAUUUCCAGGAAUUGGGCCACCGCCCUCUUUUUGGCCUUUUAUGGUGGGCCUUGGAACUGUCAUGGUGCUGGUGAGUGUGUCAUUUAGAGGCUAAUGUAUUACAAGGAACACAUAAGGAAGCUCAAGGUCUAGUGGAAGUCAACUCAUCCACCAUCUUGGACCUAGUUGGUUCUAACCAGUUUAUAUUGUGUCCUCAACAGCUGUGUCAUUCUUUUAAAGGUUGUGCCCGGCCCCCUUCCUGUCUUAAAAUGUUGGUCCUGUUAUUUGAAAUACUCACCUGUCUCUAGAUCAGAGACCAACAUUUUUAUUCGGCAUCACUUACAAGUAAUUAGGAUAGUCCAUUAAACAUAUCCUAAGAACCUUUUAUUUCCAAGGGUUAAACGAGUCUGAUUUGACUGUUUAGUAGAGGUCUUGAUAACUGUACAGAGUGUUGACAAAAAAAGUUGGGAAGGGUGAAGGUAAUAGAAAUUUAUCUCUUUCUUUUACUGAGAAGUAAGGAAAAGAGUAUUGAGUAUCUACAUUGUACCAGUAGCUCUUUUAGAUGAGCUCAUUUAUUCACUGAAUUUUCAGAGUUAUAAUUACCAUGCUACCUGCCAAGAAACCAUGGCUCAGAAAAAAUAGAUGACUUACUCAAGGUCACACAGUUAGUGAAAGUAAACUACAGAGUCUGGAUUCAACCCAGGCCUUUCUAAUUCUUUUUUUUUAAUAUAAAUUUAUUUUUAUUUAUAUUAUUU